rnacentral:tRNA from 1 species
UGGGGUAUCGCCAAGUGGUAAGGCUGCGGGUUUUGGUCCCGCCAUUCGGAGGUUCGAAUCCUUCUACCCCAG